UUCCCAGCUAUGGUUUACAUCUAUGGUUGUCUCUGUAUGCAAGACUGCAAUUUCCCAGACAGAUCCACCCUGACCAGCUGACAAGCCAGUGCUAAUUAGAGAUCAGGCCAAGCAGCAAAGCCCAGCCCACAGCCUCCUGCUGGCAAAGCAACCCACCAGUUAACAACCACUGAGCCCUUUACGGCCAAUCACAGGACAUGGAGAGAUUAACCACAGGCUGGGAAAGUGUGCCCCAACUUCUGACUGGUAGAGUACCUUUAACAGUAUGUAGUCAUGUUCAAAGUUUUGGAAUUUAGCAAUUUUUGCUUCUACCACAAUACACUGACAGGGCUAAAAGAACUGCGAACCGAUCAGAGAGGAAGAAAGUGGAGGAGGAAAAGUGACCCAGAUCAAGACAUUCCAGGGAGAAACCUCGACUCUCACCAGGUCUUUUUAGAAAUCUUUCUGGUCUCCCAAGGAGGACUGCGGUUGGGUUGGUCUGUCAGCUGGCCUUCCAGCACUGUAACCCCCCCCCCUUCAGAAAAACCCAUCUGACCCUGGCCCAUGCACACAGGAUGUGUGCUGCAGAAAUACACACACAGACAUGACAACAGAGCUGUGAAGCAUAAACAGACAGACAGACAGUGGGAGGAAGAGGGGAGGACUUACAAUACAGCCGUUAAGGUUGGGAGGGGACACAGGUGACAUCAUGGACACCUGACAGGUACACAGACUGUACGGAGGAGUCCGUGAAGCGCAUUCAGCUGAAACAUAGCAGCGCCAUCAGAUACAUGUCACGAAAUAUGGUUUGCAUAAUGACACAGCAUGAAAAACAAGUAUUUGGCUUGGAUACAACAUGAUUAUCAG